AACGAACGCUGGCGGCAGGCCUAACACAUGCAAGUCGAGCGAGCAUUUCGGUGCUAGCGGCGGACGGGUGAGUAACGCGUGGGAACGUGCCCUUUUCUGCGGAAUAGUCCUGGGAAACUGGGGGUAAUACCGCAUACGCCCUUUUGGGGAAAGAUUUAUCGGAGAAGGAUCGGCCCGCGUUGGAUUAGGUAGUUGGUGGGGUAAUGGCCCACCAAGCCGACGAUCCAUAGCUGGUUUGAGAGGAUGAUCAGCCACACUGGGACUGAGACACGGCCCAGACUCCUACGGGAGGCAGCAGUGGGGAAUCUUAGACAAUGGGGGCAACCCUGAUCUAGCCAUGCCGCGUGAGUGAUGAAGGCCUUAGGGUUGUAAAGCUCUUUCAGCUGGGAAGAUAAUGACGGAACCAGCAGAAGAAGCCCCGGCUAACUCCGUG
rnacentral:rRNA from 1 species